GAUGAACGCUGGCGGCGUGCCUAACACAUGCAAGUCGAACGGAGAUUUAACGCUGAUGAAGCUUCGGCAGAAUCUUGUUAAAUCUUAGUGGCGGACGGGUGAGUAACGCGUGGGCAACCUGCCUCGUACCGGGGGAUAACAGUUGGAAACGACUGUUAAUACCGCAUAAGCGCACAGUGUCGCAUGACACGGUGUGAAAAACUCCGGUGGUACGAGAUGGGCCCGCGUCAGAUUAGCCAGUUGGCGGGGUAACGGCCCACCAAAGCGACGAUCUGUAGCCGGACUGAGAGGUCGGACGGCCACAUUGGGACUGAGACACGGCCCAAACUCC
rnacentral:rRNA from 1 species